rnacentral:rRNA from 1 species
UACGUAGGGUGCAAGCGUUAAUCGGAAUUACUGGGCGUAAAGCGUGCGCAGGCGGUUCGCUAAGACAGAUGUGAAAUCCCCCGGGCUUAACCUGGGAACUGCAUUUGUGACUGGCGGGCUAGAGUAUGGCAGAGGGGGGUAGAAUUCCACGUGUAGCAGUGAAAUGCGUAGAGAUGUGGAGGAAUACCGAUGGCGAAGGCAGCCCCUGGGUCAAGAUUGACGCUCAUGCACGAAAGCGUGGGGAGCAAACAGG